rnacentral:rRNA from 1 species
GACGUAGGGGGCCAGCGUUGUUCGGAAUUACUGGGCGUAAAGGGCUCGUAGGCGGCCAACUAAGUCAGACGUGAAAUCCCUCGGCUUAACCGGGGAACUGCGUCUGAUACUGGAUGGCUUGAGUUUGGGAGAGGGAUGCGGAAUUCCGAGGUGUAGCGGUGAAAUGCGUAGAUAUCUGGAGGAACACCGGUGGCGAAGGCGGCAUCCUGGACCAACACUGACGCUGAGUGAGCGAAAGCCAGGGGAGCAAACGGG